rnacentral:tRNA from 1 species
UUUCACCUUGCUCAGAGGUUAAAGCAUCUGCCUCCAAUGCAGGAGACCCGGGUUUGAUCCCUGGGUCGGGAA